AUUUAUUGUGGGUGGGAGGUACUGCUGUUUGUGCUUCGUGGGUGGGUUGCUGGACUAACCAGGGCACUGACCGACAGGAGGUCAGAUACCCUGUUAGUCUGGAUGGUAAAGGGGAGAAAUGUGGCGAAACCAGCCUCGCCACUGUCCACUGGAAGAGCCUGGUUGCUCGCUUGCUCCCUUUAGACUAUGGCCCGGCAGUUAAAACCUUUUAUUUUCC